rnacentral:sRNA from 1 species
UGUAUUUGCCUUUAUUCGACAGCAUGC